GGACAUCAAGUCCUUUCUCCAUUUUCUUGUAUGUUUCUUUCUUUCCUCCUUCCUCCUCAUGAAGUUUCUUCCCUUUUUCCUCCCCCAUAACCGAACUUAAGAAGGGUUAGUGCUUUGGCUCAAGAUUUUAUGAUAAGUAAUCAGUUCUAGUGCCUUAUUCAGCAUCUCGAGGCUGGCUACAACCUAGGUUCACUCGCAAGUCUGGAAUGCUGGUAGCGAUCGAGGGAAGAGGUCAUUACAAAUAAUAGGGCUUUUGAUGGCAUGACUGAUUAUAAAUGGACAUUUUUUCUCAAUGGAUCACAUCUGUUUCAUAUUUCUUGAUGAGAACAUCUAGUUAUGAUCAAUUUUAACUAAAAACAAAAAUGAUUUUGUUUUAAAAUCAUUUAUAAGAUUAUAAAACCAUUUAAAGUAAGUUACAAGGCUUGCAAAGGCAUAAGUCACUACAAAUGGACUUUUCAUGUCAAUGUAUGAUUUUUGCUUCACAUUUCAUGAU